rnacentral:rRNA from 1 species
GACGAACGCUGGCGGCGUAGCCUAAUACAUGCAAGUGGGACGCAAGGGAACACACUGUGCUUGCACACCGUGUUUUCUUGAGUCGCGAACGGGUGAGUAACGCGUAGGUAACCUGCCUAUUAGCGGGGGAUAACUAUUGGAAACGAUAGCUAAUACCGCAUAAUAUUAAUUAUUGCAUGAUAAUUGAUUGAAAGAUGCAAGCGCAUCACUAGUAGAUGGACCUGCGUUGUAUUAGCUAGUUGGUAAGGUAAGAGCUUACCAAGGCGACGAUACAUAGCCGACCUGAGAGGGUGAUCGGCCACACUGGGACUGAGACACGGCCCAGACUCCUACGGGAGGCAGCAGUAGGGAAUCUUCGGCAAUGGACGAAAGUC